rnacentral:rRNA from 1 species
AAGUCGAGCGAACAGAUAAGGAGCUUGCUCCUUUGACGUUAGCGGCGGACGGGUGAGUAACACGUGGGUAACCUACCUAUAAGACUGGGAUAACUUCGGGAAACCGGAGCUAAUACCGGAUAACAUUUGGAACCGCAUGGUUCUAAAGUGAAAGAUGGUUUUGCUAUCACUUAUAGAUGGACCCGCGCCGUAUUAGCUAGUUGGUAAGGUAACGGCUUACCAAGGCGACGAUACGUAGCCGACCUGAGAGGGUGAUCGGCCACACUGGAACUGAGACACGGUCCAGACUCCUACGGGAGGCAGCAGUAGGGAAUCUUCCGCAAUGGGCGAAAGCCUGACGGAGCAACGCCGCGUGAGUGAUGAAGGGUUUCGGCUCGUAAAACUCUGUUAUUAGGGAAGAACAAAUGUGUAAGUAACUGUGCACAUCUUGACGGUACCUAAUCAGAAAGCCACGGCUAACUACGUGCCAGCAGCCGCGGUAAUACGUAGGUGGCAAGCGUUAUCCGGAAUUAUUGGGCGUAAAGCGCGCGUAGGCGGUUUCUUAAGUCUGAUGUGAAAGCCCACGGCUCAACCGUGGAGGGUCAUUGGAAACUGGGAAACUUGAGUGCAGAAGAGGAAAGUGGAAUUCCAUGUGUAGCGGUGAAAUGCGCAGAGAUAUGGAGGAACACCAGUGGCGAAGGCGACUUUCUGGUCUGUAACUGACGCUGAUGUGCGAAAGCGUGGGGAUCAAACAGGAUUAGAUACCCUGGUAGUCCACGCCGUAAACGAUGAGUGCUAAGUGUUAGGGGGUUUCCGCCCCUUAGUGCUGCAGCUAACGCAUUAAGCACUCCGCCUGGGGAGUACGACCGCAAGGUUGAAACUCAAAGGAAUUGACGGGGACCCGCACAAGCGGUGGAGCAUGUGGUUUAAUUCGAAGCAACGCGAAGAACCUUACCAAAUCUUGACAUCCUUUGAAAACUCUAGAGAUAGAGCCUUCCCCUUCGGGGGACAAAGUGACAGGUGGUGCAUGGUUGUCGUCAGCUCGUGUCGUGAGAUGUUGGGUUAAGUCCCGCAACGAGCGCAACCCUUAAGCUUAGUUGCCAUCAUUAAGUUGGGCACUCUAGGUUGACUGCCGGUGACAAACCGGAGGAAGGUGGGGAUGACGUCAAAUCAUCAUGCCCCUUAUGAUUUGGGCUACACACGUGCUACAAUGGACAAUACAAAGGGCAGCUAAACCGCGAGGUCAUGCAAAUCCCAUAAAGUUGUUCUCAGUUCGGAUUGUAGUCUGCAACUCGACUACAUGAAGCUGGAAUCGCUAGUAAUCGUAGAUCAGCAUGCUACGGUGAAUACGUUCCCGGGUCUUGUACACACCGCCCGUCACACCACGAGAGUUUGUAACACCCGAAGCCGGUGGAGUAACCAUUUAUGGAGCUAGCCGUC